GGACGAGCCUCUGGAGAGACUCUAGAAGAGCACCGAAGGAGCAAGGCUAAGAUAGCUGAAACUCUCAGGUAAAAGGACAGGGGAUAUGAU
rfam:Clostridium paraputrificum strain 373-A1 CP373A1_17, whole genome shotgun sequence.